UUAAGCGACUAAGCGUACACGGUGGAUGCCCUGGCAGUCAGAGGCGAUGAAGGACGUGCUAAUCUGCGAAAAGCGUCGGUAAGGUGAUAUGAACCGUUAUAACCGGCGAUGUCCGAAUGGGGAAACCCAGUGCAAUUCGUUGCACUAUCGUUAACUGAAUACAUAGGUUAACGAGGCGAACCGGGGGAACUGAAACAUCUAAGUACCCCGAGGAAAAGAAAUCAACCGAGAUUCCCCCAGUAGCGGCGAGCGAACGGGGAGCAGCCCAGAGUCUGAAUCAGCUUGUGUGUUAGUGGAACGGUCUGGAAAGUCCGACGGUACAGGGUGAUAGUCCCGUACACCAAAAUGCACAGGCUGUGAACUCGAAGAGUAGGGCGGGACACGUGGUAUCCUGUCUGAAUAUGGGGGGACCAUCCUCCAAGGCUAAAUACUCCUGACUGACCGAUAGUGAACCAGUACCGUGAGGGAAAGGCGAAAAGAACCCCGGCGAGGGGAGUGAAAAAGAACCUGAAACCGUGUACGUACAAGCAGUGGGAGCACCUUUAUGGUGUGACUGCGUACCUUUUGUAUAAUGGGUCAGCGACUUAUAUUCUGUAGCAAGGUUAACCGUAUAGGGGAGCCGCAGGGAAACCGAGUCUUAACUGGGCGUUAAGUUGCAGGGUAUAGACCCGAAACCCGGUGAUCUAGCCAUGGGCAGGUUGAAGGUUGGGUAACACUAACUGGAGGACCGAACCGACUAAUGUUGAAAAAUUAGCGGAUGACUUGUGGCUGGGGGUGAAAGGCCAAUCAAACCGGGAGAUAGCUGGUUCUCCCCGAAAGCUAUUUAGGUAGCGCCUCGUGAACUCAUCUUCGGGGGUAGAGCACUGUUUCGGCUAGGGGGUCAUCCCGACUUACCAACCCGAUGCAAACUACGAAUACCGAAGAAUGUUAUCACGGGAGACACACGGCGGGUGCUAACGUCCGUCGUGAAGAGGGAAACAACCCAGACCGCCAGCUAAGGUCCCAAAGUCAUGGUUAAGUGGGAAACGAUGUGGGAAGGCACAGACAGCCAGGAUGUUGGCUUAGAAGCAGCCAUCAUUUAAAGAAAGCGUAAUAGCUCACUGGUCGAGUCGGCCUGCGCGGAAGAUGUAACGGGGCUAAACCAUGCACCGAAGCUGCGGCAGCGACGCUCAGGCGUUGUUGGGUAGGGGAGCGUUCUGUAAGCCUGCGAAGGUGACCUGUGAGGGUUGCUGGAGGUAUCAGAAGUGCGAAUGCUGACAUAAGUAACGAUAAAGCGGGUGAAAAGCCCGCUCGCCGGAAGACCAAGGGUUCCUGUCCAACGUUAAUCGGGGCAGGGUGAGUCGACCCCUAAGGCGAGGCCGAAAGGCGUAGUCGAUGGGAAACAGGUUAAUAUUCCUGUACUUGGUGUUACUGCGAAGGGGGGACGGAGAAGGCUAUGUUAGCCGGGCGACGGUUGUCCCGGUUUAAGCAUGUAGGCUGGUUAUCCAGGCAAAUCCGGAUAAUCAAGGCUGAGGUGUGAUGACGAGGCACUACGGUGCUGAAGUAACAAAUGCCCUGCUUCCAGGAAAAGCCUCUAAGCAUCAGGUAACAUCAAAUCGUACCCCAAACCGACACAGGUGGUCAGGUAGAGAAUACCAAGGCGCUUGAGAGAACUCGGGUGAAGGAACUAGGCAAAAUGGUGCCGUAACUUCGGGAGAAGGCACGCUGGUGUGUAGGUGAAGUCCCUGCGGAUGGAGCUGAGACCAGUCGAAGAUACCAGCUGGCUGCAACUGUUUAUUAAAAACACAGCACUGUGCAAACACGAAAGUGGACGUAUACGGUGUGACGCCUGCCCGGUGCCGGAAGGUUAAUUGAUGGGGUUAUCCGUAAGGAGAAGCUCUUGAUCGAAGCCCCGGUAAACGGCGGCCGUAACUAUAACGGUCCUAAGGUAGCGAAAUUCCUUGUCGGGUAAGUUCCGACCUGCACGAAUGGCGUAAUGAUGGCCAGGCUGUCUCCACCCGAGACUCAGUGAAAUUGAACUCGCUGUGAAGAUGCAGUGUACCCGCGGCAAGACGGAAAGACCCCGUGAACCUUUACUAUAGCUUGACACUGAACAUUGAGCCUUGAUGUGUAGGAUAGGUGGGAGGCUUUGAAGCGUGGACGCCAGUCUGCGUGGAGCCAACCUUGAAAUACCACCCUUUAAUGUUUGAUGUUCUAACGUGGGCCCCUGAUCGGGGUUGCGGACAGUGUCUGGUGGGUAGUUUGACUGGGGCGGUCUCCUCCCAAAGCGUAACGGAGGAGCACGAAGGUUAGCUAAUCCUGGUCGGACAUCAGGAGGUUAGUGCAAUGGCAUAAGCUAGCUUGACUGCGAGCGUGACGGCGCGAGCAGGUGCGAAAGCAGGUCAUAGUGAUCCGGUGGUUCUGAAUGGAAGGGCCAUCGCUCAACGGAUAAAAGGUACUCCGGGGAUAACAGGCUGAUACCGCCCAAGAGUUCAUAUCGACGGCGGUGUUUGGCACCUCGAUGUCGGCUCAUCACAUCCUGGGGCUGAAGUAGGUCCCAAGGGUAUGGCUGUUCGCCAUUUAAAGUGGUACGCGAGCUGGGUUUAGAACGUCGUGAGACAGUUCGGUCCCUAUCUGCCGUGGGCGCUGGAGAAUUGAGGGGGGCUGCUCCUAGUACGAGAGGACCGGAGUGGACGCAUCACUGGUGUUCGGGUUGUCAUGCCAAUGGCACUGCCCGGUAGCUAAAUGCGGAAGAGAUAAGUGCUGAAAGCAUCUAAGCACGAAACUUGCCCCGAGAUGAGUUCUCCCUGAGACUUUAAGUCUCCUGAAGGAACGUUGAAGACGAUGACGUUGAUAGGCCGGGUGUGUAAGCGCAGCGAUGCGUUGAGCUAACCGGUACUAAUGAACCGUGAGGCUUAACCUU
rnacentral:rRNA from 1 species